CCUCUGCAGGCAGGAACUCGUUAACACCCGGCCCUGCUGGGUGCUCCCUCACCCAGCAGAAGGAGAAAGGAAAAUAGCAUUUCUCACUGGGUGCCAAUCCAUUGCCUGGGAUGAUGUGAAGAACUGAAGGGAUGUGCAGAACAACUCUGAGGCAGGAAAACACCUAGCCCAAUUUAAAGCAAAAAGAAAUCCAGAUAAUUGACACGUGUAGUGCUCCCCUUGCCCACUGAUGAAGUCUCUCCAUCAAAGGUGGGUGCAGUGCUUCUCCUUUUCCUGUCACCUGGCACCUCACCUGACAGAAAUCAGGUGAUUGCACUUCAUUCUUUUAAUUCUUUUGCAGAAAGCAAAGGCAAACAGUGUGAUUUUUUUUGUGGAACAAAUUUUAAAAAAUGGUGCUCACUAGCAUUGCAGUGAAUAUCAAAUGAAUAUAUAAUAACAGAACAUUAGGAAACAAUUAGAAAAAGUGCCUAGACAUUAUUAAUUCAUGCACUAU